AUAAAAUAGGCUUCCUUUCUCUCCUAAAGCCAUCCAUGUCGAAUGACAACGCAACAAUUCAGUCUUCCUUCAGCCGAAACGUGUCCCGUUAAAUGAAACGCAGCGUGUUAUGGCAUCCGUCGGGCUUCGCUUGGGCUUUGUCUCGCGUUUUGUUUUUGCAGGCCAAUGACCAGCGACGCGACCACAUGAGAGAAAGAAACCCUAACCCGUCCUGAUUCACGCCUUUGUGUUCUUCGUUUCUCUUCGAUCGGCGGACGGGGCGAUCCAGUUUCUGUAACGUCCGGUAGGUGUUCAUCAGUUGUGGAUGCGAUGCUGUUACGGUACUGGGAGGCUAGAUAUGUCAAGGGUGGUGGGGAUCUUAUGUGGGUCGACAUGCUAAUGGUGGAUAUUAAAUUGAGUGGUUUUCGUUUCUCAGUCUUCACUAUUUUGAUUGUUCCGAGUUAUUAUACCAAUCGUAUCGAUUUCCAGUCAAUUAGCAUUGGUUUCGUAUUUUUUUCUCCCCUUUAAUUAGAUGGACUGUUAUUUAGCAUUGAGAUCGAUUUCCAGUCAAUUAGAAUCGAUUCUGUUUUUUUUUCCUUUUUUUAUGAAUUUAUAUAUAUAGAUCUCAGUGGUGAAACCUCAGCCAGGAGAUAGGAUACUGAACGCAUGUGCUGCUCCUGGAGGGAAGACCCUUUUCAUGGCAUCUUGCUUGAAACGCCAAGGCUGAUGUUAUGGAUGUGAAUGAAGGACGGCUAAGAAUUCUUGGGGAGACAGCUAAAUCACACCAAGUUGCUGGACUUAUCACAACCAUUCAUUCUGAUCUACGUGUCUUCGCUGUGAGUUAAUACUGUUUGAUACUUGCUCGAUAGACCCUGAAGAAAAUCAAGGAAGAGUCGAAGCGUUUCUCCUAAGACAUCCUGAGUUCUCGGUAGAUCCAGUAGACAGAUUAGUAGCAUCAAGUUUUGUAAUGUCGCAAGGCGUCUUUUUAUCCAACCCAGUGAAACACUCCUUGGAUGGAGUGUUUGCAGCCCGUCUGGUUCGAGCUUUAUGAUGUAAAAGUCAAGCUUAUUUUCUCUGAUCAUCUUGAUAACAUACAGAUAGGGUUCCAUUUGUGUAUCUGAUGAGACCAAAGAGGGUACGGAAAUACCUUUUGGUUCAAAAGGGAUCCAUGCAUAGAGUUAAAGAUGUUAUGACAGAUCUUUGUUGAAAUUGUUUGUUGGUAUGUAAACAUCACGCUGUUAAAGAAAAUGUCUUACCGUUUUA